AUUUGUUUAGUUAUGGCAACUGAAGCCAUUAAACYCCAACCGCAUAUAAAGUUACUACGUUGUUUGCUAUGCACUUGCUUAGGCUGUUUUAGCGGUGAGUUCUCGCUAUUUUCGUUUGUUUGGCGAUAUCGGGAGGGUUUUUGGGGAGAGGAUAAAGCACAGUGCCAGCAUCCGCGGUUAUUCUGUUUCUCUUGGUUUCAUCAACGGUGUAUAAGUAUAACCCGAAAUAAACUAUGGCGGUUAAAUGCUGAUAGUUUAUUAACUCAGGGGGUUAUUUUUUCUUUAUAGCUUUUUGUUUGUAAUCCAGAUUUGAUACCUGGUUAACGGGCUAGAUAUAAAAAUCUUAGUUUAAACUAAAAUAAUUUGGCAGCCAACCAACCCUAACAGGGGAGGGUGCACUAGAAAAGAUGAUCCGCUUAAUAGUUUACCUGGUUUAAUUAGUUGGUGUACGUCCGGUUGAAAACCCGUAGUGAGAGCUUAUUACGGGUCCAYACAGAAUAUUUAAGCCAGGUCAAUGUGCUACUAAAAACUAGGUUGAUGUGCCCUACUGUUAAAUAAAAAAGGAGGAAUCUCCRACUGUUUAGGACUUGUAAGUAAACUACUAUARUUUGUAUUGUUGAAAUGGGUUUGGUUGGGGUACACACCGCCCGUCAAUCUCGGUGCUUAAAUUGAGAUAAGUCGUAACAAGGUAGCUUUUGGGGAACCAGAAGCUUUUCAAAA
rnacentral:rRNA from 1 species